rnacentral:misc_RNA from 1 species
GUGUCGUUAUGAAAGAAGAAAGAGAUUGAAUGGUAUAAUUAUAAGAUAAUCAUGUGUCUGUGUGCCAAUUGACUUUGUACUUUUUAAGUUUGUAUAGAACAUAUCAGAAUGACUUGUAUUAUGUACCUCUACAUAUUGAUAUACCAAAACCAUUAUUUAACUGUGGAAUCAAUUUUAUUCAUUGGGGUCAAUGUUCAUGGGUAGCCAAAAUUUCCUUGGUUUUGUGGGGACGUCAUUUUGUUGGCAGUUUGAUUGGGAUAAUUAUAAUAGAUUAAUGAAUUAUUAAAUAAACAAAUGCUUGUGUGUACGUUUGUGGGGAUGUAAAUUCCUGGGGAAGGGAUGCCACAAACAUUGGUCCCCUACGAACAAUGAUGAUUCCACAGUAGAUAUACAUUUGUGAUAUACAUGUAGUCUCAAUCAGUGAUAUACAUGUAGUCUCAAUCAGAAUAAUGCUCACCGUUUGCCAUAAGAUGUAUAAGAUACAUAACAUGUACUUAAGGAACUACAGUUAUGAAAUCAAAAACAGUGUCAGUGUGUCUUGCACGCAUGUUUGCAAUGCACUGAUUCUGCAGGUGCAAGAUUCUGCAGACAUUUUGAUUCUGUAUAUCGGCUGAUGCAUACUUGACCUGAUUGAAUAAAGAUCAGUCAAGUAGUCCUGAUGUAUUAUAGAACUGUGAGAAAUAAACAAACAAGUUACUGGUGUAAUGGUCAAACCUAUAGAUCUUGAACUAAUUGUCUGUGUUCUCUGUUUACAGAACUAAUGAAUCUCAUGAUGCCAAUUUCUGUAUGCUGUACAAUUAACUGUAAAACUGAACCUAUAUCAGGGUUAAUUUAAAGAGGACUGAAAGUAUAUAAGCUAGAGUAAAUUGUCUCUAGAUCUUUCUAGAAAUUUCCAUGGUAAAGAUUCUAUUAUUUCUGCUUACCUAAGGGAAAUUGGUGGAAGAAAUUAUCAUUUGUGUGCAGUGAUAUCUGUUUGUGUCUGUAAUUUUCUGAUUGGGUAUAUUUAUGUCAUUAAAAGCGGGCUUUAACAAUC